rnacentral:rRNA from 1 species
UACGGAGGGUGCGAGCGUUGUCCGGAAUCACUGGGCGUAAAGGGCGCGUAGGCGGCUUGGGAAGUCCGUGGUGAAAGCUCGUGGCUCAACUACGAGUCGGCCAUGGAUACUCCUAAGCUCGAGUCGACUAGAGGCAGACGGAAUUCCGGGUGUAGCGGUGGAAUGCGUAGAGAUCCGGAGGAAGACUGGUGGCGAAGGCGGUCUGCUGGGCAGUUUCUGACACUGAGGCGCGACAGCGUGGGGAGCAAACAGG